rnacentral:rRNA from 1 species
CAUGACACUGAGGGAAAAGGAUUUAUUCGCUUUAGGAUGGACUCGCGUCCAAUUAGCUAGUUGGUGAGGUAACGGCCCACCAAGGCGACGAUUGGUAGCCGGACUGAGAGGUUGAACGGCCACAUUGGGACUGAGACACGGCCCAGACUCCUACGGGAGGCAGCAGUGGGGGAUAUUGCACAAUGGGGGAAACCCUGAUGCAGCGACGCCGCGUGGAGGAAGAAGGUUUUCGGAUUGUAAACUCCUGUCGUUAGGGACGAUAAUGACGGUACCUAACAAGAAAGCACCGGCUAACUACGUGCCAGCAGCCGCGGUAAAACGUAGGGUGCAAGCGUUGUCCGGAAUUACUGGGUGUAAAGGGAGCGCAGGCGGGAAGACAAGUUGGAAGUGAAAACCAUGGGCUCAACCCAUGAAUUGCUUUCAAAACUGUUUUUCUUGAGUAGUGCAGAGGUAGAUGGAAUUCCCGGUGUAGCGGUGGAAUGCGUAGAUAUCGGGAGGAACACCAGUGGCGAAGGCGGUCUACUGGGCACCAACUGACGCUGAGGCUCGAAAGCAUGGGUAGCAAACAGGAUUAGAUACCCUGGUAGUCCAUGCCGUAAACGAUGAUAAGGAGGUGUUGGGGGAUUGACCCCCUCAGUGCCGCAG